GACGAACCGUGCGAACGUUGUUCGGAUUCACUGGGCUUAAAGGGCGCGUAGGCGGAUGGUCAAGUCGGGGGUGAAAUCUUUCAGCUUAACUGGAAAAGUGCCUCCGAUACUGACUGUCUCGAGGGAGGUAGGGGCAUGUGGAACUUCCGGUGGAGCGGUGAAAUUCGUAGAUAUUGGGAAGAACACCGGUGGCGAAGGCGGCGACCUGGUCCUUGACUGACGCUGAGGCGCGAAAGCGUGGGGAGCAAACAGG
rnacentral:rRNA from 1 species